rnacentral:rRNA from 1 species
AUGGACGCAUAUAUGAGGCUGAUAAUUCAGGCAGCAGCACUGAUUAGUGUGAUUCAGGCAUGGGUCAUGUUCAUGCACCAGAGAGUUGUUCGUCGUGCUGGGAGACCUUUGAUCCGCUAUGGUCCAUUGUUUGUCCGGGAACAGGAGAGGAUCCAAAAUCUGAACUACAUCUACAACUGCAAUGACGUCGAGGCUCUGUGGAUGCUUCGAAUGAAAAGAGCACCAUUUGACAGGCUUGUCGAGACCUUCAGGAGCAGGGGGCUGCUACAAGAUAGCAUCAACACCAGUGUCGAAGAGCAAGUGGCCAUGUUCCUCCAUGUUGUUGGCCAUAACCAGAGGUUCAGGGUCAUUCACAACACGUUCAGUAGACCAAUGGAGACCAUCUCUAGGUACUUCAAGCAGGUGCUUUUUGCUAUUGGGGAUCUUAGAGGAGAGAUGAUCAGGAGACCAUCUGGUCAGACUCCACCCAAGAUUCGCGAGAGCCCAAGAUGGUAUCCAUACUUCUAGGUGAGCAUUGACAAUAUAUACUUUUCAUGGCUUGAUAUGCUUGUAUUGUUCAAGUUGAGCACUAACACAGGCUUGUGA